CCAAUAGCGUAUAUUAAAGUUGUUGCAGUUAAAAAGCUCGUAGUUGAAUUUCGGGGUCAGUAGGCUGGUCGUGCCACGGGUAUGUACUGGUCUCACUGAUUCCUCCUUCCUGAUGAACCGUAAUGCCAUUAAUUUGGUGUUGCGGGGAAUUUGGACUGUUACUUUGAAAAAAUUAGAGUGUUUAAAGCAGGCUAACGCUUGAAUACAUUAGCAUGGAAUAAUGAAAUAGGACGUUCGAUCCUAUUUUGUUGGUUUCUAGGAUUGACGUAAUGAUUAAUAGGGAUAGUUGGGGGCAUUAGUAUUCAAUUGUCAGAGGUGAAAUUCUUGGAUUUAUUGAAGACUAACUACUGCGAAAGCAUUUGCCAAGGAUGUUUUCAUUAAUCAGUGAACGAAAGUUAGGGGAUCGAAGACGAUCAGAUACCGUCGUAGUCUUAACCGUAAACUAUGCCGACUAGGGAUCGGGCGAUGUUCUUUUUCUGACUCGCUCGGCACCUUACG
rnacentral:rRNA from 1 species